GACGAACGCUGGCGGCGUGCUUAACACAUGCAAGUCGAACGGAAAGGCCCUGCUUUUGUGGGGUGCUCGAGUGGCGAACGGGUGCGUAACACGUGAGUAACCUGCCCUUGACUUUGGGAUAACUUCAGGAAACUGGGGCUAAUACCGGAUAGGAGCUCCUGCUGCAUGGUGGGGGUUGGAAAGUUUCGGCGGUUGGGGAUGGACUCGCGGCUUAUCAGCUUGUUGGUGGGGUAGUGGCUUACCAAGGCUUUGACGGGUAGCCGGCCUGAGAGGGUGACCGGCCACAUUGGGACUGAGAUACGGCCCAGACUCCUACGGGAGGCAGCAGUGGGGAAUAUUGCACAAUGGGCGGAAGCCUGAGGCAGCAACGCCGCGUGCGGGAUGACGGCCUUCGGGUUAUAAACCGCUUUCGCCUGUGACGAAGCGUGAGUGACGGUAAUGGGUAAAGAAGCACCGGCUAACUACGUG
rnacentral:rRNA from 1 species